rnacentral:tRNA from 1 species
GGGGUUAUAUUUUAAUUGGUAGAAUAAUUGCGUUGCAUGCAUUAGAUAUGAGUUCAAUUCUCAUUAACUCCA